rnacentral:lncRNA from 1 species
UUUUUAGGGACUUGAACAGACAUAAAUCCGAUUAUGGGUCAAAAAAAAAAAAAAAAAAAAAAAAAAAAGGCUGUGGAAUAAACAUUUCUCUUUAUUCUCCUCUUACAAGUGGUUUUCUUAUUCUAUUAAACACUAAUGCAGAUCAAAAUCUAGUGUUGCAAUGGAUUUAAAUGGGGAAGCAUUACUAUAUGCUUCCAUAAAAUGAGUUGUCUUCAAAAGAUAUUACUGAGUAGAAAUUGAUAAACAGACUUUUUUUUUUUUUUUUUUUUUUUUUUAAUAAGAAUUUAAUCCUUCUUUUGGGAAGACUGAAUAACAUAGGGUGGUUCUGUACAGCUGCUGUCACAAAGCAAAGAACAAAACACGUCAGACUACAGAUUGCUGUUGCUCUGCUCACGACAGCAGUAGAUAAAAUGAUGGCUGGGCACAGACAUUACAAUUUAGCAACAUGAACUGCUUCUUCUCUGAUGGAGGAUCAGGCUGUUCUGGCAGAAGGCUGUGAACUCUUCUGUGACACCAAACUUGUCCAUGUUCCCACAUUCCUGUGGGGAGGAAGAGGACCCAGCUCCAGUCCUGUCCUGCUCCUGCCCCCAGGCUUUGCAAAGCAUGUGCAAAGCCUCUGAACUGUCAGUUCUCCUACACCUUCCAGCUGGUUGAGAACAGCAGAGGAGAAGCCCAGAGAGCCUUGCACAAGAUUACGUAAGAGGGUCAGCCUGUAUCUUCUAAUCCAUCACCUAUACCCUAAUUAUGUUCCCCUGCAAAAGUUUUCUAAAGAACCAAAUAUUUGCUUUCUUGCCAUUUUCAGGUAAUU